AAUCAACGCUGGCGGCGUGCUUAACACAUGCAAGUCGAGCGGUAAGGCCCUUUCGGGGGGUACACGAGCGGCGAACGGGUGAGUAACACGUGGGUGACCUGCCCUCAGCUCUGGGAUAAGCCUGGGAAACCGGGUCUAAUACUGGAUAUGACUCCAUGACGCAUGUUGUGGGGUGGAAAGCCUUGUGCGGCUGAGGAUGGGCCCGCGGCCUAUCAGCUUGUUGGUGGGGUGAUGGCCUACCAAGGCGACGACGGGUAGCCGGCCUGAGAGGGCGACCGGCCACACUGGGACUGAGACACGGCCCAGACUCCUACGGGAGGCAGCAGUGGGGAAUCUUGCGC
rnacentral:rRNA from 1 species